UACGUAGGGUGCGAGCGUUGUCCGGAUUUAUUGGGCGUAAAGAGCUCGUAGGCGGCUCGUCGCGUCGACCGUGAAAACCCGCAGCUUAACUGCGGGCUUGCGGUUGAUACGGGCGGGCUAGAGUUCGGUAGGGGAGACUGGAAUUCCUGGUGUAGCGGUGAAAUGCGCAGAUAUCAGGAGGAACACCGAUGGCGAAGGCAGGUCUCUGGGCAUUAACUGACGCUGAGGAGCGAAAGCAUGGGGAGCGAACAGG
rnacentral:rRNA from 1 species